rnacentral:rRNA from 1 species
UGGGGGAUAUUGCACAAUGGGGGAAACCCUGAUGCAGCAACGCCGCGUGAGCGAAGAAGGCCUUUGGGUCGUAAAGCUCUGUCCGAGGGGAAGAUAAUGACGGUACCCUUGGAGGAAGCCCCGGCUAACUACGUGCCAGCAGCCGCGGUAAUACGUAGGGGGCGAGCGUUAUCCGGAAUUAUUGGGCGUAAAGAGUGCGUAGGUGGUUCUUUAAGCGUGAGGUGAAAGGCAAUGGCUUAACUAUUGUAAGCCUUGCGAACUGGAGAACUUGAGUGCAGGAGAGGUAAGUGGAAUUCCUAGUGUAGCGGUGAAAUGCGUAGAUAUUAGGAGGAACGCCAGAAGCGAAAGCGGGGCACUGGGCCGAUUCUGACGCUGAGACGCGAAAGCGUGGGGAGCAAACA